AUGACGUACAACGGCCUCCACAACUUCUGUAAUCCUAUUCAGCCACUUGGUAACAACCAUCGUUUUUCAGACACGUGAACUCUUCAGAAAUCACCAGUGGGGUCCUAUAGUGUUUCUUGUGUAUUUUCUGACCCAUUUUCUUCAUGUGCAGUGUAUGGCAGUAUAAUCAUUUUAAUAUUUGUGUCGUAGGUUGCGCUCCUCUGCGGCGUAGGCCUGGGCCCGGGUGGAACGCUGCCUGCCUUCAGUGUAGGGACUGCACGCAGGCACUGCAACCCAGCGGACCGGGCCUGCCCAACUGAGGAGGGUUAUUAACUUAUAUAUGUAUUGAAUUGUAUUUGCCAUUUUUAUACUGGACAUGAAUCGACAUUUUAAACUGUUUCCAAACACUUAUUAAAUAAAGCUGUGUUAUGUUUUUGGAA